CUCAUACAGGCAGCCAAUCAUGGCAACUGAUGUUGUCCAGCCUUCUUCACUUCUGCAGCAGAAAAGAGCUCCGUGGCUUAAGAAUAUGCUGCCAUUCUGGAGUCAUUGACACUAAUAGAUCUUGUAAGCAAGCUGGCACUGCAUGGUGAAGACAGAUGUAUGGGGCUGAGAAAGGAGAAGCUAAAUCCCAAACCCACCAGGCAAGAUGUGACCUGGGACCUUGGACAUCGAAAAGCAGGACAGAUGGGAGGUUAGCAGGAAAAGAUCUCUAUUGUAAUUCUGCAUCUGGUCACUUGAAGAGCCAGUUUACAUCAGUGUUCUUCCUGUAGCUAGACAUCCUUGAGAGUCAGUGUGGUGCAGUGGUUAGUGUGUUUGACUACCGCUAGAGCGAAUCAAGUUCAAAUCUCUGCUCACUUACUCACCAGCUGGUCACUCACAAUCUAACCUACCUCACAGAGUUGUUGUGAGGAUAAAAAUGGUGGCGGCGGCAGGGGAAGAAUCAUCAGCUGACUUUCCAGAAAUGGCUUUUUCUCCACAUGAUCCUCAUUCAGGAGGAGGAGGAGGAGGAGGAGGAGAAGAAGAUAAAUAGUGACCAGCCACCACUGAGGGGGACAGAAAGAAUUGAGACUUCUUGGAUUGUUGCUUUCUUUCUUUAGGAACAAGUGUAUUACUCUGAACUUGCUCAAGAACUGUGGAUUCAUAUGAAGUGGGUUGGGGUCUUACACUCAGCAUAUGCUCAGGGUGAACAGUAUGCAUAAUUGAAUAAAAGGUUUUACUGAAUAAAGGGAGA